rnacentral:rRNA from 1 species
CAGCAGCCGCGGUAAUACGUAGGGUGCGAGCGUUAAUCGGAAUUACUGGGCGUAAAGCGUGCGCAGGCGGUUGUGUAAGACAGGUGUGAAAUCCCCGGGCUUAACCUGGGAACUGCAUUUGUGACUGUAGAGCUGGAGUGCGGCAGAGGGGGAUGGAAUUCCGCGUGUAGCAGUGAAAUGCGUAGAUAUGCGGAGGAACACCGAUGGCGAAGGCAAUCCCCUGGGCCUGCACUGACGCUCAUGCACGAAAGCGUGGGGAGCAAACAGGAUUAGAUACCCCUGUAGUCCCUGUCUCUUAUAC